UACAGAGGUCUCAAGCGUUGUUCGGAUUCAUUGGGCGUAAAGGGUGCGUAGGCGGCGCGGUAAGUCGGGUGUGAAAUCUCGGGGCUUAACUCCGAAACUGCAUUCGAUACUGCCGUGCUUGAGGACUGGAGAGGAGACUGGAAUUUACGGUGUAGCGGUGAAAUGCGUAGAUAUCGUAAGGAAGACCAGUGGCGAAGGCGGUUCUCUGGGCAUGUCCUGACGCUGAGGAGCGAAAGUGUGGGGAGCGAACAGG
rnacentral:rRNA from 1 species